rnacentral:rRNA from 1 species
UACGUAGGGUGCAAGCGUUGUUCGGAAUUAUUGGGCGUAAAGCGUGCGUAGGCGGAUUGAUAAGUCAGAUGUGAAAUCCCGUGGCUUAACUGCGGAAUUGCGUUUGAAACUAUCAGUCUUGAGGGUGGAAGAGGUGGAUGGAAUUCCUAGUGUAGAGGUGAAAUUCGUAGAUAUUAGGAGGAACACUCGUGGCGAAGGCGGUUCACUGGUCCACUCCUGACGCUGAGGCACGAAAGCAUGGGUAGCAAACAGG